AUGGAGCAGUUUGUAAGGAUGGGGGAUGAUGUUAGCAAUGCCAUGAGCAUGGCUGUUGAAAGGGUUGCCGUGGGACAUGAUGAUGCAGAUUUGCUGGUGGAGGUACAGCCCGGUGACCUGCCCCCUGCUGAUCUUUCUGCUAGAGCGCUCUCCUCUCUGUGUGAGCCACAAGAGUGGGGAGGUGUUGACAUGGUCAACUUCAGCAACCCCACCUUUGGCAUGAUACAGCUGUACUCCCCUGCCCGACAGUGGUCCUUGUUCUGCUUCAACCAGAACGCAGCUUGGCCAUACAACUCUCUGCUGGAUGAUACAACACAGGCUGCCGGAGGUGCGCCCUUCUUUGCUGCUGCACCAGACAGCUUUGCGUCACCACUGCAAGGAGCAGCGUCCGACCCAUACUCCUUGCCUCCUCUGCCGCCUUCCUUGGGGUAUGGACCGCAAGCACACUGGCCGGACCACGACAGUAAUCUACUACAGCAUGUGCUUCCUGGUGAGGCGAUGAGCUGGUUCUCUCAAGCGGUUGGUCCUGAGAUUCUAUUUGGGCCAGGGGCUCAAAACAUACCCAGUGCAGGAGGUUUGGGCCAGGAGGUCCAGCUGCAGGGCAUAGACGCUGGACUGUGGUGCACCCCAGUACAGUCAUCGGAAGAGCAAAGGGCUAGGCGCGCCUUGGCGGAGGCCAACCUCUCUGGGCCUGGCUUGGUGGCUGCAAUCACGGCAAAGGUGGCUGAUCUACAAGUGGAUGAGCAGCGAGCCUUUGUUAGCAAGAUUGCAUCUUUUCUCUCAGCCUCAGUUCUUGGCUCCCCUCCAGUUCUGGCUGCUGGAACACAAAGGUCGUCCUUACAUCAGAAGCUUCUAAGAAUUGGCAAGGGCACCCGUCUCCUCAAGCUGCGCUCCAACUUCUCCACUUCCAAGCGCACUCAGGUUGCCAUCUGCGUCAAGCUUAGCAUCAUCAAGAAGGUGGAGGAGUUCUCCGACGACACACUGCUGGCCUACAUCGAGUUCUUCCGUGCGCCCAUGUCCCCGGAGAAUGUGAACAAGCUCGCGGAGAUCGCGGGGCUGUCCUCAUCAGCGCAGCUUCGGCUCCCUGAUGAGGAGUUGCAGGCCAUCCUGGAGGAGCUCUCGAGGAGGGCUCCUGUUGUGCCCCGUGCUUGA
rnacentral:rRNA from 1 species